AUUGAACGCUGGCGGCAUGCCUUACACAUGCAAGUCGAACGGCAGCACGGGUGCUUGCACCUGGUGGCGAGUGGCGAACGGGGGAGUAAUAUAUCGGAACGUACCUUAUUGUGGGGGAUAACGCAGCGAAAGCUGUGCUAAUACCGCAUAAUCCCUAAGGGGGAAAGCGGGGGACCGUAAGGCCUCGCGCAAUUAGAGCGGCCGAUACCUGAUUAGCUAGUUGGUGAGGUAAAGGCUCACCAAGGCAACGAUCCGUAUCUGGUCUGAGAGGACGAGCAGCCACACUGGGACUGGGCCACGGCCCAGACUCCUACGGGAGGAAGUAGUGGGGAAUUUUGGACAAUGGGGGGAACCCGGAUCCAGCAAUGGCGCGUGAGUGAAGAAGGCCUUCGGGUUGUAAAGCUCUUUUGUCAGGGAAGAAACAGCAGCUCUAACACAGUAUGCGAAUGACGGUACCUGAAGAAUAAGCACCGGCUAACUACGUGCCAGCCGCCGCCGUAA
rnacentral:rRNA from 1 species